rnacentral:rRNA from 2 species
CGAAAUGCGAAAAGUAGUGUGAAUUGCAGAAUUCAGUGAAUCAUCGAAUCUUUGAACGCACAUUGCG